rnacentral:rRNA from 1 species
AGAGUUUGAUCCUGGCUCAGGAUGAACGCUGGCGGCGUGCCUAACACAUGCAAGUCGAGCGAUUCUCUUCGGAGAAGAGCGGCGGACGGGUGAGUAACGCGUGGGUAACCUGCCUCAUACACAUGGAUAACAUACCGAAAGGUAUGCUAAUACAAGAUGAUAUAAGAGAUUCGCAUGGAUUUCUUAUCAAAGCUCCGGCGGUAUGAGAUGGACCCGCGUUUGAUUAGCUAGUUGGUAAGGUAACGGCUUACCAAGGCGACGAUCAGUAGCCGACCUGAGAGGGUGAUCGGCCACAUUGGAACUGAGACACGGUCCAAACUCCUACGGGAGGCAGCAGUGGGGAAUAUUGCACAAUGGGCGAAAGCCUGAUGCAGCAACGCCGCGUGAGCGAUGAAGGCCUUCGGGUCGUAAAGCUCUGUCCUCAAGGAAGAUAAUGACGGUACUUGAGGAGGAAGCCCCGGCUAACUACGUGCCAGCAGCCGCGGUAAUACGUAGGGGGCUAGCGUUAUCCGGAUUUACUGGGCGUAAAGGGUGCGUAGGUGGUUUCUUAAGUCAGGAGUGAAAGGCUACGGCUCAACCGUAGUAAGCUCUUGAAACUGGGAAACUUGAGUGCAGGAGAGGAAAGUGGAAUUCCUAGUGUAGCGGUGAAAUGCGUAGAUAUUAGGAGGAACACCAGUAGCGAAGGCGGCUUUCUGGACUGUAACUGACACUGAGGCACGAAAGCGUGGGGAGCAAACAGGAUUAGAUACCCUGGUAGUCCACGCCGUAAACGAUGAGUACUAGGUGUCGGGGGUUACCCCCCUCGGUGCCGCAGCUAACGCAUUAAGUACUCCGCCUGGGGAGUACGCUCGCAAGAGUGAAACUCAAAGGAAUUGACGG